GAGUUCCUCGAGUCUGAACAUCAAAGGAACAAACAACACACUGCAUUCAUUACGAUGCUGAAAUGUUCCUCAUUAAACACUGGUAUUAAAAUGGAAUUACUCAGCUGUAGAUGUAUGAAGUGAACAGUAAGAUGAAUCAGAGUUCGUGACGUGAAUCAUUUUCUCCUGGUUUACUGACCUCCUCUGAAGCAGCGGGAGAUUCAGACUGGAUGUGAUGAACAGCUCUGAUUCAACACUGUUACUCAUGAUGGAGGAAAACAAUGUGGAAAGCAUCUUCAGCGUCAUAAGAAGAUUUCGAUUUUUAAUAAUCACACACCCCUUGUCAAACCUGAAUCAGAUGUGAUGAAGUCACCCUCCUCAUCCUCGUCCAUUAGCAUCAAAACCUCUCAUCAUCACUGAACCUGACGGAUGGAAACCACAUGUUUGGAGCUUACACACUUCAGGAACGAUUUCCUGUAGGAGAAUAAGAGCGUGAGCAAUUUGUAAUCAUUUUAAAUGUUUUUAUGCAUUAGCUAAUGGCUGUGUGUUGAUAAGAUUGGAACAAAAUAUUUAAUGAAGCAAUGCAAAUUCAAUAUUCAUUUGUGCUUUUUUAAAUCAAUUUAUAUAUUCAUUUAUUAAUAUAUUCACACACACACACACACACACACACACACACACACACACACACACAUAUAUACACCAUAUACACACAUACACACACACACACACACACACACACACACACACACACACACACACACACAUACAUACACACACACACACACACACACACACAUAUAUAUAUAUGUAUAAAAUUCACUAAAUAAAAAUAUCUCUAUCUACUAAUUAUUUAAUUAAUAUUUUAUUACUUGUAAAAAAAAUUAUAUAUAUAAAAUAAAUAUAAAAUAUAUUGAUAAUAUAUUUAAUGUUUUUACAAUAAUAAUAAAACUAUUAAAACAUGAAAAUAUACAAAUACAACAUUAUAAAAACAAUAAUAUGGGUGUGUAUAUAUAAUAAAAUUGGAUUAAAUCGA
rnacentral:lncRNA from 1 species